UACGAAGGGGGCUAGCGUUGCUCGGAAUCACUGGGCGUAAAGCGCACGUAGGCGGCUUUCUAAGUCAGGGGUGAAAUCCUGGAGCUCAACUCCAGAACUGCCUUUGAUACUGGAGAGCUUGAGUCCGGGAGAGGUGAGUGGAACUCCGAGUGUAGAGGUGAAAUUCGUAGAUAUUCGGAAGAACACCAGUGGCCGAAGGCGGCUCACUGGCCCGGUAGCGUACGCUGAGGCACGAAAGCGUGGGGAGCAAACAGG
rnacentral:rRNA from 1 species